rnacentral:lncRNA from 1 species
UGAAAUAAAAAUAGAGUGAGGCAUCACAGAGAGUUUAGUCUGUGAGGAAAAAUAGAGAAUGUGAGCGAUAUUGUAGUGUGGUGGAAAAAUCAAAAGAGAGAUUUCUUUUGAGUGUGUAGUAGUCUCUUUGAAUAUUGUACUUGUGACUACAGUCUAAAAUUCCUUACUAAAGAAACAUCAGUUGCUCCUCUUGGCCCGUGAUUUUUCCCUCAUUGGAUUUCCACGUAAAAUAUCUCGGUGUCAUUAUCACUCUUGUUGUUCUUGUUGAUUUAUAGUAUUACUGUUGUCAUAAUUAUUGUUUUUUAUUACGGCAAUAUUAUUAUCGUGGCGAGGUUUAUUCCCAACAUGUAAUCCUUGUUAUUAGCGAAUAAUAAGAGAUGGUUCUUCACAAAUUCAGGCCUAGAGAUUAACGAAAGCCAAGAUAUUGAGACAGACAGUAAAUUGCAAGAGGUAUUUCACCAGAAGCUUUAGCAAGAUUUCUGUGACGAUCUCUGCAUGAAGGUAAGGGAUUUGUUAGUUUCCUCUGUUUCGAGAUGGCUUCAUCUUCUUUGGAUUGCAGAAUCAGAAAUGUGGGAGGGUUUAAUAUUUGAGAGACUUGCGAGUUUAGUUAUUAACAAAUGAGAAAAUAAUUGUUUUCGUUCUUGUGUUAUGGCUGUAUUAUGGUUUUCCUGUUCUUGCUGCUUUCUUUGUUUUUCGUUUAAGCCAUCGUUCUUGGAGAUGGUUUGUGGUAACGUAUUUCCAAGGGAGCGAAGGUUAUUUAACAAAACCAACUACUUAAGCCAUUUUUUAAAAAUCCAUUUUGAGUUAGAAAUGCACAAUAAUCUUCAAGUUAAAAGCGAAAAUAGAAUGAACGUCUAGCAAAAAUGCAAGCAAGUAAUUUAAAGACUGUAAUCUGGUCGAGGUACAAUAUCACCAAUACGACAAUUUAAACAUUUACUUUCUGAACAGAUGGGGGAGCAGCAUUCGAGAGCAUUGUAAAUACAUAGCAGAAACUAUUUGGAGCCAGCCG